rnacentral:rRNA from 1 species
UGCCAGCAGCCGCGGUAAUACGUAGGUGGCAAGCGUUAUCCGGAAUUAUUGGGCGUAAAGCGCGCGUAGGCGGUUUUUUAAGUCUGAUGUGAAAGCCCACGGCUCAACCGUGGAGGGUCAUUGGAAACUGGAAAACUUGAGUGCAGAAGAGGAAAGUGGAAUUCCAUGUGUAGCGGUGAAAUGCGCAGAGAUAUGGAGGAACACCAGUGGCGAAGGCGACUUUCUGGUCUGUAACUGACGCUGAUGUGCGAAAGCGUGGGGAUCAAACAGGAUUAG